GACGAACGCUGGCGGCGUGCCUAAUACAUGCAAGUCGAGCGGACUUACAAAGCUUGCUUUUUAAGUUAGCGGCGGACGGGUGAGUAACACGUGGGCAACCUGCCUGUAAGACUGGGAUAACUUCGGGAAACCGGAGCUAAUACCGGAUAAUCCUUUUCUACUCAUGUAGAAAAGCUGAAAGACGGUUUACGCUGUCACUUACAGAUGGGCCCGCGGCGCAUUAGCUAGUUGGUGAGGUAACGGCUCACCAAGGCGACAAUGCGUAGCCGACCUGAGAGGGUGAUCGGCCACACUGGGACUGAGACACGGCCCAGACUCCUACGGGAGGCAGCAGUAGGGAAUCUUCCGCAAUGGACGAAAGUCUGACGGAGCAACGCCGCGUGAGUGAUGAAGGUUUUCGGAUCGUAAAACUCUGUUGUUAGGGAAGAACAAGUACGAGAGUAACUGCUCGUACCUUGACGGUACCUAACCAGAAAGCCACGGCUAACUACGUG
rnacentral:rRNA from 1 species